rnacentral:rRNA from 1 species
UACGAAGGGGGCGAGCGUUGUUCGGAAUUACUGGGCGUAAAGGGCGCGUAGGCGGCCGAUCAAGUCAGAUGUGAAAGUCCUGGGCUUAACCUGGGGACUGCAUUUGAUACUGAUUGGCUUGAAUGCAGGAGAGGAUAGCGGAAUUCCCAGUGUAGAGGUGAAAUUCGUAGAUAUUGGGAAGAACACCGGUGGCGAAGGCGGCUAUCUGGACUGUG